GAAGAUCUCCAGUUUUCUCUCUUUUUUUGUUUGCCAUUCCGUCAGGUCGGAAACUAUGGACCGAUGCCACCAGAAACAAGCCAAAAUUACCAUUUUUGAAUUUGAAGAGGUUAGCAGUAUUGAAUGGGAUUUCAUAAACAUGAGUGAACAAGAGGCAGAUCUCAUCUACAGAAUGUAUAGCCUCGUUGGUGAGAGAUGGGAUUUGAUAGCCGGCCGGAUUCCAGGCCGAAAAGCAGAAGAAAUAGAGAGAUUUUGGAUAAUGAGACACCGUGAAGGGUUUGCAGCGAAGAGAAAAACUGCACAGUGUUAAAAAGUACUCUAAGCUUAAGUCACCAACUUGUAAUGGCUUCAAAUGUGUUAUUCGUUCAAGUGUUUUUCUUCUAUAUUUAUUGUUUUCGCAAGAGUUUUAAA
rnacentral:misc_RNA from 1 species